rnacentral:rRNA from 1 species
UGCCAGCAGCCGCGGUAAUACGUAGGGGGCAAGCGUUAUCCGGAAUCACUGGGCGUAAAGGGUGCGUAGGCGGCCAUUCAAGUCAGAGGUGAAAGGCUAUGGCUCAACCAUAGUGAGCCUUUGAAACUGUUUGGCUUGAGUGCAGGAGAGGAAAGUGGAAUUCCUAGUGUAGCGGUGAAAUGCGUAGAUAUUAGGAGGAACACCAGUGGCGAAGGCGACUUUCUGGACUGUAACUGACGCUGAGGCACGAAAGCGUGGGGAGCGAACAGGAUUAGAUA